rnacentral:rRNA from 1 species
UACGGAGGGUGCGAGCGUUAAUCGGAAUUACUGGGCGUAAAGCGUGCGUAGACGGUUAUGUAAGUUAGGUGUGAAAGCCCCGGGCUCAACCUGGGAAUUGCAUUUAAGACUGCAUAGCUAGGGUGCGGAAGAGGGAAGCGGAAUUUCCGGUGUAGCGGUGAAAUGCGUAGAUAUCGGAAGGAACAUCAGUGGCGAAAGCGGCUUCCUGGUCCAGCACCGACGUUCAGGCACGAAAGCGUGGGGAGCAAACAGG